ensembl:lncRNA ABCC13 ATP binding cassette subfamily C member 13 (pseudogene)
AGGUGAAAGCUGACUGCCCGCACCGCCCCAGGCGCACUGGGUAGGACUGAAAGGCAGGGACUAAGGUGACAGCUGACUCUGCCGGGGCGGAGUGCGUGUCCUCCCACCGUGCUGGCGCUGAACUGACUGUCCGCUGCCAAGGGAAGUGACAGCCGCAGCCGGGCUCUCAGCCAGCGGCCAGGCGCCCCGCGGACCAUGCUCUCCAGUACGCAGAACGCGGGCGGCUCCUAUCAGCGGGUCCGCGGGGCGCUUGAUACACAGAGUAAUUACUUUAGGCUAUAAGAGACCUUUGGAAAGAGAGGAUCUUUUUGAACUAAAGGAAAGUGAUUCCUUCUGCACUGCGUGUCCCAUCUUUGAAAAACAAUGGAGAAAGGAAGUUUUAAGGAAUCAAGAGAGGCAAAAAGUAAAGGUAUCUUGUUAUAAAGAGGCACAUAUCAAGAAACCAUCUCUACUCUAUGCAUUGUGGAACACCUUUAAAUCCAUCCUGAUUCAAGUUGCCUUAUUCAAAGUGUUUGCUGAUAUUUUGUCCUUCACUAGCCCACUCAUAAUGAAGCAAAUUAUCAUUUUCUGUGAACACAGCUCAGAUUUUGGCUGGAAUGGCUAUGGCUAUGCAGUGGCACUUCUUGUUGUAGUCUUUUUGCAAACUCUGAUUCUUCAGCAAUAUCAACGUUUUAACAUGCUCACCUCAGCAAAAGUUAAGACAGCUGUAAAUGGACUGAUCUACAAAAAGGCCUUACUUUUAUCAAAUGUUUCUCGACAAAAGUUUUCCACUGGGGAAAUUAUUAACUUGAUGUCAGCAACUCAUGGACUUGACAGCAAACCUCAAUCUCCUCUGGUCUGCCCCUUUUCAAAUCCUAAUGGCCGUAUAUCUCCUUUGGCAAGAGCUGGGUCCAGCAGUGUUAGCAGGGGUGGCAGUCCUUGUGUUUGUUAUACCAAUAAAUGCUUUAGCUGCAACUAAAAUAAAAAAGUUAAAGGUGUCCCUGGCAACCUUGUGUGUCUAUUUCUUACUGGAUGAAGGAAACAUUUUAACAGCCACUAAAGUGUUCACAUCGAUGUCUUUGUUUAAUAUUUUAAGGAUUCCUCUGUUUGAGUUACCAACCGUGAUCUCAGCUGUGGUCCAGACAAAGAUAUCCCUGGGCCGUUUGGAAGACUUUCUCAACACUGAGGAGCUUCUUCCUCAAAGUAUUGAAACGAACUAUACAGGAGAUCAUGCUAUUGGGUUUACAGAUGCUUCUUUCUCCUGGGAUAAAACAGGAAUGCCAGUUCUAAAAGAGGCUCUGUGGCUUAUGUUUCUCAGCAGGCCUGGAUUCAGAAUUGCAUUUUGCAAGAAAACAUUCUCUUUGGCUCCAUCAUGAAGAAAGAGUUUUAUGAGCAAGUAUUGGAAGCCUGUGCUCUCCUUCCAGAUUUGGAGCAGUUGCCAAAGGGAGAUCAAACUGAGAUUGGAGAAAGAGUAAGGAAACUGUAAUUUAUCAUGUAAAGAAAUAUAAUCCCAUUCAGCUGUGCUAAUAAAAUGUUUAUGGCCUUUUUCUUGAAGUCUCGAAGAGCUAUACAACUAUAAUUUUAAAAAAUUAUUAUGUGAUUCCUAUGUAAGAGAUGGCAGUAUUAAGGACAAGUAAUUAUUUAUAAUUGACUGUUUGGAAAACAGAUUAAAAAUCAGUCGGAAA